ACAGAGGGUGCAAGCGUUAAUCGGAAUUACUGGGCGUAAAGCGCGCGUAGGCGGUCGAGUAAGUCGGAUGUGAAAUCCCCGGGCUUAACCUGGGAAUUGCAUUCGAUACUGCUUGGCUAGAGUGUGGAAGAGGGAAGCGGAAUUUCCGGUGUAGCGGUGAAAUGCGUAGAUAUCGGAAGGAACACCAGUGGCGAAGGCGGCUUCCUGGUCCAACACUGACGCUGAGGCGCGAAAGCGUGGGGAGCGAACAGGA
rnacentral:rRNA from 1 species